ACUUUUUUUCCUUUCAUAAUUAAGCAUAAAGGUUGAAAGGAUGGUAUUGCAGCUAGUUUAUUAAUCAGGAAGACCACAGGUACACAAGAGACCUUAUCAACCUGACAAGAAAAUAUCAGAGGUGGCAAGAUGGUUGCUAAGCAAUAGUUAUUGGGUGCUUGUCAUUAUCAGACACCUAGAGGCUGUAGUUUGAAAA